rnacentral:rRNA from 1 species
CAGUAGCCACGGUAAUACGUAGGUGGCAAGCGCUGUCCGGAUUUACUGGGCGUAAAGCGCGCGCAGGCGGAUGGUUAAGUAGGAAGUGAAAGGUUGGAGCUCAACUCCAACAUUGCUCCCUAUACUGGCCGUCUUGAGUCCCGGAGAGGAAAGCGGAACGACACGUGGAGCGGUGAAAUGCGUUGAUAUGUGUCGGAACACCAAUGGCGAAGGCAGCUUUCUGGACGGGUACUGACGCUCAGGCGCGAAAGCCGAGGUAGCGAACAGGAUUAGAUACCCCGGUAGUCCCUGUCUCUUAUAC